CCUACGGGUGGCAGCAGUGGGGAAUAUUGCGCAAUGGGCGAAAGCCUGACGCAGCGACGCCGCGUGAGGGAUGAAGGUCUUCGGAUCGUAAACCUCUGUCAGCAGGGAAGAACGGUCACUGUGCUAAUCAGCAGUGAAUUGACGGUACCUGAAAAGGAAGCACCGGCUAACUCCGUGCCAGCAGCCGCGGUAAUACGGAGGGUGCGAGCGUUAAUCGGAAUUACGGGGCGUAAAGCGCUCGUAGGCGGUAUGUCAAGUCAAGGGUGAAAUCCCCGCGCUCAACGGGGGAACUGCCUUGGAAACGGGUAAACUGGAGUGUGUGAGAGGAUAGUGGAACCACAGGUGUAGGAGUGAAAGCCGUAGACAGCUGGAGGAACAUCAGUGGCGAAGGCGACUAUCUGGCACAUAACUGACGCUGAGGAGCGAAAGCGUGGGUAGCAAACAGGAUUAGAUACCCGAGUAGUC
rnacentral:rRNA from 1 species